UACAGAGGGUGCAAGCGUUAAUCGGAGUUACUGGGCGUAAAGAGCACGUAGGUGGUUAAUUAAGUUGGAUGUGAAAUCCCCGGGCUUAACCUGGGAGUGUCAUUCAAAACUGGUUAACUUGAGUACGGUAGAGGGAAGUGGAAUUUCCGGUGUAGCGGUGAAAUGCAUAGAUAUCGGAAGGAACAUCAGUGGCGAAGGCGACUUCCUGGACUGAUACUGACACUGAGGUGCGAAAGCGUGGGGAGCAAACAGG
rnacentral:rRNA from 1 species